GCUCACUUCGGUGGGAGCGGCGGACGGGUUAGUAACGCGUGGGAACAUACCCUUUACUACGGAAUAGCCUUUGGAAACGAAGAGUAAUACCGUAUACGCCCUACGGGGGAAAGAUUUAUCGGUAAAGGAUUGGCCCGCGUUAGAUUAGAUAGUUGGUGGGGUAACGGCCUACCAAGUCUACGAUCUAUAGCUGGUUUGAGAGGAUGAUCAGCAACACUGGGACUGAGACACGGCCCAGACUCCUACGGGAGGCAGCAGUGGGGAAUCUUAGACAAUGGGGGAAACCCUGAUCUAGCGAUGCCGCGUGUGUGACGAAGGCCCUAGGGUCGUAAAGCACUUUCGCCAGAGAUGAUAAUGACAGUAUCUGGUAAAGAAACCCCGGCUAACUCCGUGCCAGCAGCCGCGGUAAUACGGAGGGGGUUAGCGUUGUUCGGAAUUACUGGGCGUAAAGCGUACGUAGGCGGAUUAGUAAGUUAGAGGUGAAAUCCCAGGGCUCAACCCUGGAACUGCCUUUAAUACUGCUAGUCUAGAGUUCGAGAGAGGUGAGUGGAAUUCCAAGUGUAGAGGUGAAAUUCGUAGAUAUUUGGAGGAACACCAGUGGCGAAGGCGGCUCACUGGCUCGAUACUGACGCUGAGGUACGAAAGUGUGGGGAGCAAACAGGAUUAGAUACCCUGGUAGUCCACACCGUAAACGAUGAAUGCCAGUCGUCGGGU
rnacentral:rRNA from 1 species